rnacentral:lncRNA from 1 species
CUUUUCGAGGUAGGAGUCGACUCCUGUGAGGUAUGGUGCUGGGUGCAGAUGCAGUGUGGCUCUGGAUAGCACCUUAUGGACAGUUGUGUCCCCAAGGAAGGAUGAGAAUAGCUACUGAAGUCCUAAAGAGCAAGCCUAACUCAAGCCAUUGGCACACAGGCAUUAGACAGAAAGCUGGAAGUUGAAAUGGUGGAGUCCAACUUGCCUGGACCAGCUUAAUGGUUCUGCUCCUGGUAACGUUUUUAUCCAUGGAUGACUUGCUUGGGUAAGGACAUGAAGACAGUUCCUGUCAUACCUUUUAAAGGGUUUUUAAUGACCACAACAAGCAAGCAUGCAGCUUACUGCUUGAAAGACAGGGUCUUGCCUCACCCAAGCUAGAGUGCAGUGGCCUUUGAAGCUUACUACAGCCUCAAACUUCUGGGCUCAAGUGAUCCUCAGCCUCCCAGUGGUCUUUGUAGACUGCCUGAUGGAGUCUCAUGGCACAAGAAGAUUAAAACAGUGUCUCCAAUUUUAAUAAAUUUUUGCAAUCCA